rnacentral:sRNA from 1 species
UUACAGGAAAAUUUUGGAAAUACAAUUUGGAACAUUUGGAAGGUUGUCACUUAAUUCAAGACUCUUCAUAAAAGAAGUGUGCACAAGAAAGAGGACACUAUGGUGAUUUUACUCUUUAGCCCUUUGAGAAAGGGGUGCUUCAAUUGAAAAAGGGGGUGCGUCCAGCAAGCACAGGCUUCAAUUAUUACAUCCAACAGCAGCCCACAUUGAAUCACAUGUCCGGGAGCUUCUUUGGGAGGUGCACACGAUGUAGAGUGCUGGAAGCAAAUAGCACACGGCCCAUGGGGAAACGCGGUCCAGCAGCUUGAAUGAAGGGUGUGACACACAGCUGGUCCAACACGUAGAGGAGCAGCCAUCCAGCGUUGCACGUUGGAGAGGAGGCAAGAGGCCCACGUGAAGACAACACGUAGCGUGCUCCAGCAGAAACAGCAACACACUUGAGACACGGGUUGUAUCCAACAAAGAUGGAGGUGCACGAAGAAGCCAAGGAGGAAGCGGCACACGUCCAGCACCUGGACCCAGCAGCACGGAAGAGGGGAUGCACUUCUUCAUAUUGAAGUGGGCACACGAGGGUUUAAAAACCCUUGGAGAGAGAAGUAAGGGUGUCUCGGCCUGGAGCUGAAGGGCACGCAGCAGGGCUGAAUGUGGGGAGAAUGCGGUGAUGGAAUGAACCGAGGAGGCUGCACGGUGAAGAAGUGGAUGCACACAGGAAGGAGGCUAUCGUCGAGAGAAAGAAAGAAGCUCACGGUUUGGAUGGACUGCUGCAUGGAAACUAGGACGAAUUGGAAGAGGAGUUAAAUGUCAAGAAGUUGGAACUCAGAAAGGACAGAAAGAGCACCAGAAGAGAAGCUGAUAAAGGUAACAGGACGCUUGGGCGCCCUCCUCUAGGGCCCUCAGCGCAGGAGCCUCGCAGUCACGCCUGAGC